ACAGCAGGACGGUGGUCAUGG
rnacentral:snRNA from 1 species